rnacentral:rRNA from 1 species
ACAGAUUAAACUCCCAAACCCAAUGUGAACGUUACCAAACUGUUGCCUCGGCGGGAUCUCUGCCCCGGGUGCGUCGCAGCCCCGGACCAAGGCGCCCGCCGGAGGACCAACCAAAACUCUUUUUGUAUACCCCCUCGCGGGUUUUUUAUAAUCUGAGCCUUCUCGGCGCCUCUCGUAGGCGUUUCGAAAAUGAAUCAAAACUUUCAACAACGGAUCUCUUGGUUCUGGCAUCGAUGAAGAACGCAGCGAAAUGCGAUAAGUAAUGUGAAUUGCAGAAUUCAGUGAAUCAUCGAAUCUUUGAACGCACAUUGCGCCCGCCAGUAUUCUGGCGGGCAUGCCUGUCCGAGCGUCAUUUCAACCCUCGAACCCCUCCGGGGGGUCGGCGUUGGGGAUCGGCCCUGCCUCUUGGCGGUGGCCGUCUCCGAAAUACAGUGGCGGUCUCGCCGCAGCCUCUCCUGCGCAGUAGUUUGCACACUCGCAUCGGGAGCGCGGCGCGUCCACAGCCGUUAAACACCCAACUUCUGAAAUGUUGACCUCGGAUCAGGUAGGAAUACCCGCUGAACUUAAGCAUAUCA